rnacentral:rRNA from 1 species
UACGAAGGGGGCUAGCGUUGUUCGGAAUUACUGGGCGUAAAGCGUAUGCAGGCGGAUCGUUAAGUCGGGGUGAAAUCCCGAGGCUCAACCUCGGAACUGCCUUCGAUACUGGCGAUCUUCGAGUCCGGGAGAGGUGAGUGGAACUCCGAGUGUAGAGGUGAAAUUCGUAGAUAUUCGGAAGAACACCAGUGGCGAAGGCGGCUCACUGGCCCGGUACUGACGCUGAGAUACGAAAGCGUGGGGAGCAAACAGG